AGCGUAGGUGGCCUAACAUGUCAACUGUGAAAACCCGGAGCUCAACUCCGGACUUGCAGUUGAAACUGGUAGGCUUGAGGACGGCAGAGGAAGACGGAACUGCCAGUGUAGGGGUAAAAUCCUUAGAUAUUGGCAGGAACGCCGGUGACGAAGGUGGUUUUCUGGGCCGGUUCUGACACUGAUGCUCGAAAGCCAGGGGAGCGAACGG
rnacentral:rRNA from 1 species